rnacentral:rRNA from 1 species
UGGGGAAUUUUGCGCAAUGGGGGCAACCCUGACGCAGCAACGCCGCGUGCGGGACGACGGCCUUCGGGUUGUAAACCGCUUUCAGCAGGGAAGAACCUCUGACGGUACCUGCAGAAGAAGCCCCGGCUAACUACGUGCCAGCAGCCGCGGUAAUACGUAGGGGGCGAGCGUUAUCCGGAAUGAUUGGGCGUAAAGCGCGCGCAGGCGGCCGCUCAAGCGGGACCUCUAACCCCGGGGCUCAACCCCGGGCCGGGUCCCGAACUGGGCGGCUCGAGUGCGGUAGGGGAGAGCGGAAUUCCAAGUGUAGCGGUGAAAUGCGCAGAUAUUUGGAAGAACACCGAUGGCGAAGGCAGCUCUCUGGGCCGUCACUGACGCUGAGGCGCGAAAGCCGGGGGAGCGAACAGGAUUAGAUACCCUGGUAGU